CCUACGGGUGGCUGCAGUGGGGAAUAUUGGACAAUGGGGGAAACCCUGAUCCAGCUACGCCGCGUGAGUGAAGAAGUAUUUCGGUACGUAAAGCUCUAUCAGCAGGAAAGAAAAUGACGGUUCCUGACUAAGAAGCACCGGCGAACUCCGUGCCAGCAGCCGCGGUAAUACGUCGGGGGCAAGCGUUAUCCGGAUUGACUGGGUGUAAAGGGAGCCUAGACGGCAGCGCAAGACUGGAGUGAAAUGCCGGGGACCAACCCCGGAACUGCUCUGGAAACUGUGAAGCUGGAGUGCAGGAGAGGUAAGCGGAAUUCCUGGUGUAGCGGUGAAAUGCGUAGAUAUCAGGAGGAACACCGGCGGCGAAGGCGGCUUACUGGACUGUAACUGACGUUGAGGCUCGAAGGCGUGGGGAGCAAACAGGAUUAGAUACCCUUGUAGUC
rnacentral:rRNA from 1 species